UGGCCGGUUGAUUGCCAAGAAAUUCAAAAUAUAAAUCGCUACCAAAGCUCAUCUCAGAAGUACAACUUAAGUGGACUUCUUCCAUGCUCAACUAGAUCCAGAUGCAC